UUUAUAACAUAAAUAUUUCCCAUUCAAUAUUUGAGACAUACUUGUUCUAAAC
rnacentral:miRNA from 1 species